AUUCUACUCCCUCUGUUCCACAAUACAUGCCUUCUAUUUGUCAAAAUAUAGAUGUAUCUAGACAUGUUUUAGUAUAUAGGUACAUCCAUUUGUUGGACAAAUGGAAGUCAAGUAUUUUGGAACGGAGGGAGUACACA
rfam:Triticum aestivum genome assembly, contig: Triticum_aestivum_CS42_TGACv1_scaffold_578679_7BL